GGGACUACAGGGGUUUCUAAUCCCGUUUGCUCCCCUGGCUUUCGUACCUCAGCGUCAGGAACGGCCCAGAAAGUCGCUUUCGCCACUGGUGUUCCUCCCAAUAUCUACGCAUUUCACCGCUACACUGGGAAUUCCACUUUCCUCUGCCGUCCUCCAGUCACCCAGUAUCCAGGGCACUCCCAAGGUUGAGCCUUGGUCUUUAACCCCAGACUUAGAUGACCGCCUACGUACGCUUUACGCCCAAUAAUUCCGGACAACGCUCGCAUCCUACGUCUUACCGCGGCUGCUGGCACGUAGUUAGCCGAUGCUUCUUCUGUCGGUACCGUCUGCGACUCGUCCCGACUGAAAGGGCUUUACAGACCGAAAUCCUUCGUCACCCACGCGGCGUUGCUCCGUCAGG
rnacentral:misc_RNA from 1 species